GACAGAGGAUGCAAGCGUUAUCCGGAAUGAUUGGGCGUAAAGCGUCUGUAGGUGGCUUUUUAAGUCUGCCGUCAAAUCCCAGGGCUUAACCCUGGACAGGCGGUGGAAACUACCAAGCUGGAGUACGGUAGGGGCAGGGGGAAUUUCCGGUGGAGCGGUGAAAUGCGUAGAGAUCGGAAAGAACACCAACGGCGAAGGCGGCUCUCUGGAACGCAACUGACGCUGAGACGCGAAAGCGUGGGGAGCAAACAGG
rnacentral:rRNA from 1 species